rnacentral:rRNA from 1 species
GCAUGAACUCUACAUGAAAAGUGCUACGGCACUGGUAGAGGAUGGACUUAUGGCGCAUUAGCUAGUUGGAGGGGUAACGGCCCACCAAGGCGACGAUGCGUAGCCGACCUGAGAGGGUGACCGGCCACACUGGGACUGAGACACGGCCCAGACUCCUACGGGAGGCAGCAGUAGGGAAUUUUCGGCAAUGGGGGAAACCCUGACCGAGCAACGCCGCGUGAAGGAAGAAGUAAUUCGUUAUGUAAACUUCUGUCAUAGAGGAAGAACGGUGCGUGUAGGGAAUGACAUGCAAGUGACGGUACUCUAUAAGAAAGCCACGGCUAACUACGUGCCAGCAGCCGCGGUAAUACGUAGGUGGCGAGCGUUAUCCGGAAUUAUUGGGCGUAAAGAGGGAGCAGGCGGCACUAAGGGUCUGUGGUGAAAGAUCGAAGCUUAACUUCGGUAAGCCAUGGAAACCGUAGAGCUAGAGUGUGUGAGAGGAUCGUGGAAUUCCAUGUGUAGCGGUGAAAUGCGUAGGUAUAUGGAGGAACACCAGUGGCGAAGGCGACGAUCUGGCGCAUAACUGACGCUCAGUCCCGAAAGCGUGGGGAGCAAAUAGGAUUAGAUACCCUAGUAGUCCACGCCGUAAACGAUGAGUACUAAGUGUUGGGAGUCAAAUCUCAGUG